GCUUCCGAGCGGCGCACACGAGGGUCUACAGCCCCUAGGAUGGUCUAAGAUUGGAACCUCUUAUGGCCCUAACGGAGAUCUCUGUGAGUGGGGAGCUGAGUUCCCAGAUAGCAGGGCUUCAAGCGCGGACAGACUGGACAGGAGAAGCUCGGAUUUAUAAAUGACCUCCUGGUGACAGCAGAAACCAAACAAAACUGUCUAAAAGAGACCCAGGACCUUUGGACUAUCAAGCCUCCAUUAAAAAAGCCCUACUCUGCCAACUACAGGCGAACUCCCUAUAUCCAGGAGAUACAUGUUAAGAAAAGGUCUGAGGUAGCUUUCUGAAUCAAGAAAUAAAAAUUACUUUCUACACAA